rnacentral:rRNA from 1 species
AUUGAACGCUGGCGGCAGGCCUAACACAUGCAAGUCGAACGGUAACAGGAAGAAGCUUUCUUCUUUCCUGACGAGUGUCGUACGGGUGAGUAAUGUCUGGGAAACUGCCUGAUGGAGGGGGAUAACUACUGGAAACUGUUGCUAAUACCGCCUAACGUCGCAAGACCAAAAAGCUGGACCUUUGCGCCUCUUGCCAUCGCAUGUGCCCAGAUGGGAUUAGCUAGUAGGUGGGGUAACGGCUCACCUAGGCGACGAUCUCUAGCUGGUCUGAGAGGAUGACCAGCCACACUGGAACUGAGACACGGUCCAGACUCCUACGGGAGGCAGCAGUGGGGAAUAUUGGACAAUGGGCGCAAGCCUGAUGCAGACAUGCCGCGUGUAUGAAGAAGGCCUUCGGGUUGUAAAGUACUUUCAGCGGGGAGGAAGGGAAGAAAGUUAAUACCUUGGCGCAUUGACGUUACCAACAGAAGAAGCACCGGCUAACUCCGUG